UACGUAGGAGGCGAGCGUUGUCCGGAGUUACUGGGCGUAAAGGGUGCGCAGGCGGCGGUGCGCGUGGCGAGAUGAAAUCUCCUGGCUUACCUGGGAGGGUGGUCGCCAGACGGCAUCGCUUGAGGGUCGGAGAGGGGCGUGGAAUUCCGGGUGGAGCGGUGAAAUGCGUAGAGAUCCGGAGGAACACCGACGGCGUAGGCAGCGCCCUGGGCGACAACUGACGCUGAGGCACGAAGGCUAGGGGAGCAAACAGG
rnacentral:rRNA from 1 species